AUGGUAGCAUGAUGGCUAAAUUUUUUGGGUUAGCAUGAAAUAUAUGAACAGUUUUGGAUUGGUCUCGGUAGACUGGAUUACAUUUUAUUCGUCAUAUUAUGCUACUGAAAUUUUUAUGGGUUUGGUGGUAUAUUAAACGGUCACUGCAGUGGUGGGGGUUUCCGUGGACUGCCUAUGAGAGUGGUACGGUAACCCAAUUAUAUAAUUACCUCCGGGGGGAGAUGUUGGAUGAAGUAUCUCCUGAGGUAAGAUUUGAGUGCACCUCACGUU
rnacentral:lncRNA from 1 species